UACGUAGGUGGCAAGCGUUGUCCGGAAUUAUUGGGCGUAAAGCGCGCGCAGGCGGUCCUUUAAGUCUGAUGUGAAAGCCCACGGCUCAACCGUGGAGGGUCAUUGGAAACUGGGGGACUUGAGUGCAGAAGAGGAGAGUGGAAUUCCACGUGUAGCGGUGAAAUGCGUAGAGAUGUGGAGGAACACCAGUGGCGAAGGCGACUCUCUGGUCUGUAACUGACGCUGAGGCGCGAAAGCGUGGGGAGCAAGACGG
rnacentral:rRNA from 1 species